AAUAUUCCCAGUAACUUAUUCUAUUGACAUUCUAUGCUUACAGAGGGAAAGUGGCUCUAAUAAGAUCAACUAAACUAGACAGUAUUCUACCUUCACAGCUCCAAGAUUCUAAAGGUUCUCUUACAAACCCAAGGCAUCUUGUGGCUUUUACAUGUAAGUUUCUCUUCCUGCUCCCUCCACUCAAAAACACACACACACAGUAUACAUUACAUACAGGGUUUCCGCUCUAACUUACAGGACGCUGCCUCUUUACUGAAAAAUAGAAUUGUCAUUGAUAUUUAUGAGAAAGUUGAUGUCACUGACAAUGGGAUCCCAAAUUUGCAAGAUUGUCUCCCUACCACUUAACAGGCCAAUAACAAUCGCAAUAAUAGCACAGUAAUUCUUAGUUAUCUUAUUUAAAAAUCCAUGAACAUCUCCAGCUUUUUUUUAUGGCAAAACAGUUCAUUGUGGCUGUUCACAUAGUGAUUAUCAUCCCCUUACAUCCCCAGGUAAUGACUAUGACCUUGACCUAAAAGCCAUGUUAGUUAAUUGGAAUAAAGAAGACCUUGAAGGGAAAGGUAACUGACCAGAAACACUCUUAAGAGGCACACAAUAAAGAAAUUAUCAUUUCUAAGAAAGUACUUAAAUAAUACAUGAUGAUUUGCUAUGCUAAUUGAUGUGUUUUAUUAUGACAUUAAAUCACUUUUUAAUUAAAGAGUAUUUAUUAGUGGCAUAAGUCUCUUUACAUCACCACGCUCCCCGGAAUCCCUAACUAAAUCCAAACAGAAGCUCAUCAUCUUACACAGAAGCUCCUUCGGCUCUGAAAUCGUGAUAUUUACACAUUAUUAAAACCCACUUCCUAAGUUAGCUCCUAAUGUCCCCCUGGUAGAAGAAUGUCAUCUGUUUCUGGAAGGGACGGGAUGGGGGGGGCCUAGGAGUCUGCAAAGAGCAUCUUAUGCUUGGCUGCCUUUCGCUAUAGCCAUUUGAUGAGCUGGCGCGCUGAGCCUUCCAACUGCCAGGACUCCUAUUUGCUCUGCAAGUGCUUUAGCUGGGGUCUCUCCGCUGUGAGUCUAAAACGCGUUUGGAAUUCUUUCUUUCCAUCCCUCCUCCUAUACUCUCUCAAGGCUUCAUGCUACCGUUGCUCUUAAUGCCACAAGGAAAGAGAUGAGUGCCGAGGAUCAGUUUAUUGGGUAAUUGAUCUAUUUAUAGGUUUGGUGAGAUUGGGAAUUUCUAGGUGAGCAACACUUAAGGGUGGUGUAAAACACAGCUGUGGCUUUGGAAGAGAGGAAAUACAUAACAGGUUUGUACCUGUGACCAUUUAGUAUGCUCCGCACCUGUGCCCUCCACUUCCCACCUGACGCCAGGAAAACCCUCUGCCCCUCACUUCGAAGGCCGGGGACCCCGGGACCUCUGAGGCUCUGGAAACACCUUCUUGCCUCCCUGUAAUUAGGUGUGGUGGGAGACUAAGUCUAUAUAUCGCAGAAGAAGAAAUGAAUGGAGAGCUUACUGGUUUCAGCCUGAGUCAACAGUCAACACAAAAAUGUAAGAGGAGAAACAAAGUAACCCUGAAAAUUGUCUGGGUUAGCCUUCCUGACAUAGCCUAAUCAAAGACAUCUUAUUGGAAAGACAUCCUGUCUCCAUUAAUUAAUCUCAAAAACAGAAGAACGAAUUCUUGCCCAGAAAUCUCUCAGAGUUGCUGUGAAGAUCAAGCAAGAUGAUGCAUGGGGACAGCACCUUACAUUGUAAAGUGCUGUGCCAAGGUCAGAUGUCAUUAUUGGAGUGGCUAAAUAAAUUGGGCUAUUACGAACAUCACUCUUUGUCUCCUCUUGUGUAGACACAAAGUAAACAGAUUGCUAUUAGCAGACAGUUAGAUAAGGCUGUCAUAGGCUUUGAAAUGAAAGUAAUGAUACAUUUCUUCCUUAAGGUAGCCUUCUGCCCAUCGCGUGCUACCCAGCCAAGAACUGUGAUUUCUUAAACCCUAGCUCCGUCUAGUGGUUCUUUGUUCUAUUACAAAUGAGAUAACAGUGGCUGAAGAGAACUUGACUCUGAAAUGUGUUUGGUACUGAGCUGAGUCGGUUUGUUGCCUAUCCACUUCAUUUUAAUAAGCUUAUUUAAAUAAGGUUUUUAAGGUUGUGUUAUUGCACAAACAUGCCAAAGGAAGAUUUUUCAUGACAAUAUUAAAAACCCAUCAAGAAACCUCAUAAUCCUGCCUGUGAAAGGAAGAUAAAAUAAUGCAGAGGGGGAAACGAUCAUAGAGAAUUAAUACAGUUUCUCAGGUUUUAAUGAGCUUACAUGUUCUACAGCUUGGAUAAAAAAGGAAACAGGUGAUUUUAGUUUGAGAUGAGAGAGGUUAAAGCCCUGGUAGGUUACCAGAUAAGAAAAAGAAAUAAGGCGAUGUCUUCCAUUUUAAGUGUACUACUGAAGUGGAUCUCAACAUGUACUGUGCUUGUGUGUCUGUGUG